GUCAUUUUGGAAUAGUGGUUAGCGAGUGAGGCUGUUGUUCUUAAAAUCAGAGGUUCGAGUCCCCCAACUGACU
rnacentral:tRNA from 1 species